rnacentral:rRNA from 1 species
GGUUAAGCGACUAAGCGUACACGGUGGAUGCCCUGGCAGUCAGAGGCGAUGAAGGACGUGCUAAUCUGCGAAAAGCGUCGGUAAGGUGAUAUGAACCGUUAUAACCGGCGAUGUCCGAAUGGGGAAACCCAGUGUGAUUCGUCACACUAUCGUUAACUGAAUACAUAGGUUAACGAGGCGAACCGGGGGAACUGAAACAUCUAAGUACCCCGAGGAAAAGAAAUCAACCGAGAUUCCCCCAGUAGCGGCGAGCGAACGGGGAGCAGCCCAGAGUCUGAAUCAGCUUGUGUGUUAGUGGAACGGUCUGGAAAGUCCGACGGUACAGGGUGAUAGUCCCGUACACCAAAAUGCACAGGUUGUGAACUCGAAGAGUAGGGCGGGACACGUGGUAUCCUGUCUGAAUAUGGGGGGACCAUCCUCCAAGGCUAAAUACUCCUGACUGACCGAUAGUGAACCAGUACCGUGAGGGAAAGGCGAAAAGAACCCCGGCGAGGGGAGUGAAAAAGAACCUGAAACCGUGUACGUACAAGCAGUGGGAGCACCUUCGGGUGUGACUGCGUACCUUUUGUAUAAUGGGUCAGCGACUUAUAUUCUGUAGCAAGGUUAACCGUAUAGGGGAGCCGCAGGGAAACCGAGUCUUAACUGGGCGUUAAGUUGCAGGGUAUAGACCCGAAACCCGGUGAUCUAGCCAUGGGCAGGUUGAAGGUUGGGUAACACUAACUGGAGGACCGAACCGACUAAUGUUGAAAAAUUAGCGGAUGACUUGUGGCUGGGGGUGAAAGGCCAAUCAAACCGGGAGAUAGCUGGUUCUCCCCGAAAGCUAUUUAGGUAGCGCCUCGUGAACUCAUCUUCGGGGGUAGAGCACUGUUUCGGCUAGGGGGUCAUCCCGACUUACCAACCCGAUGCAAACUACGAAUACCGAAGAAUGUUAUCACGGGAGACACACGGCGGGUGCUAACGUCCGUCGUGAAGAGGGAAACAACCCAGACCGCCAGCUAAGGUCCCAAAGUCAUGGUUAAGUGGGAAACGAUGUGGGAAGGCACAGACAGCCAGGAUGUUGGCUUAGAAGCAGCCAUCAUUUAAAGAAAGCGUAAUAGCUCACUGGUCGAGUCGGCCUGCGCGGAAGAUGUAACGGGGCUAAACCAUGCACCGAAGCUGCGGCAGCGACACUAUGUGUUGUUGGGUAGGGGAGCGUUCUGUAAGCCUGCGAAGGUGUGCUGUGAGGCAUGCUGGAGGUAUCAGAAGUGCGAAUGCUGACAUAAGUAACGAUAAAGCGGGUGAAAAGCCCGCUCGCCGGAAGACCAAGGGUUCCUGUCCAACGUUAAUCGGGGCAGGGUGAGUCGACCCCUAAGGCGAGGCCGAAAGGCGUAGUCGAUGGGAAACAGGUUAAUAUUCCUGUACUUGGUGUUACUGCGAAGGGGGGACGGAGAAGGCUAUGUUAGCCGGGCGACGGUUGUCCCGGUUUAAGCAUGUAGGCUGGUUGUCCAGGCAAAUCCGGAUAAUCAAGGCUGAGGUGUGAUGACGAGGCACUACGGUGCUGAAGUAACAAAUGCCCUGCUUCCAGGAAAAGCCUCUAAGCAUCAGGUAACAUCAAAUCGUACCCCAAACCGACACAGGUGGUCAGGUAGAGAAUACCAAGGCGCUUGAGAGAACUCGGGUGAAGGAACUAGGCAAAAUGGUGCCGUAACUUCGGGAGAAGGCACGCUGGUGUGUAGGUGAAGCCCCUGCGGGUGGAGCUGAGACCAGUCGAAGAUACCAGCUGGCUGCAACUGUUUAUUAAAAACACAGCACUGUGCAAACACGAAAGUGGACGUAUACGGUGUGACGCCUGCCCGGUGCCGGAAGGUUAAUUGAUGGGGUUAUCCGUAAGGAGAAGCUCUUGAUCGAAGCCCCGGUAAACGGCGGCCGUAACUAUAACGGUCCUAAGGUAGCGAAAUUCCUUGUCGGGUAAGUUCCGACCUGCACGAAUGGCGUAAUGAUGGCCAGGCUGUCUCCACCCGAGACUCAGUGAAAUUGAACUCGCUGUGAAGAUGCAGUGUACCCGCGGCAAGACGGAAAGACCCCGUGAACCUUUACUAUAGCUUGACACUGAACAUUGAGCCUUGAUGUGUAGGAUAGGUGGGAGGCUUUGAAGCGUGGACGCCAGUCUGCGUGGAGCCAACCUUGAAAUACCACCCUUUAAUGUUUGAUGUUCUAACGUUGGCCCCUGACCGGGGUUGCGGACAGUGUCUGGUGGGUAGUUUGACUGGGGCGGUCUCCUCCCAAAGCGUAACGGAGGAGCACGAAGGUUAGCUAAUCCUGGUCGGACAUCAGGAGGUUAGUGCAAUGGCAUAAGCUAGCUUGACUGCGAGCGUGACGGCGCGAGCAGGUGCGAAAGCAGGUCAUAGUGAUCCGGUGGUUCUGAAUGGAAGGGCCAUCGCUCAACGGAUAAAAGGUACUCCGGGGAUAACAGGCUGAUACCGCCCAAGAGUUCAUAUCGACGGCGGUGUUUGGCACCUCGAUGUCGGCUCAUCACAUCCUGGGGCUGAAGUAGGUCCCAAGGGUAUGGCUGUUCGCCAUUUAAAGUGGUACGCGAGCUGGGUUUAGAACGUCGUGAGACAGUUCGGUCCCUAUCUGCCGUGGGCGCUGGAGAAUUGAGGGGGGCUGCUCCUAGUACGAGAGGACCGGAGUGGACGCAUCACUGGUGUUCGGGUUGUCAUGCCAAUGGCACUGCCCGGUAGCUAAAUGCGGAAGAGAUAAGUGCUGAAAGCAUCUAAGCACGAAACUUGCCCCGAGAUGAGUUCUCCCUGAGACUUUAAGUCUCCUGAAGGAACGUUAAAGACGAUGACGUUGAUAGGCCGGGUGUGUAAGCGCAGCGAUGCGUUGAGCUAACCGGUACUAAUGAACCGUGAGGCUUAACCUU